CUUUUGUCCUUUUAGGGCUACACCAGCAGCAUAUGGAGGUUCCCAGGCUAGGGGUGGAAUCAGAGCUGCAGCUGCCGGCCUACGCCACAGCCACAGCCACAGCCACACAGGAUCCAAGCCGCGUCUGUGACCCACACCACAGCUCAUGGCAACACCGGAUCCUCAACCCACUGAUCGAGGCCAGGCAUCGAACCUUCAUCCUCAUAGUUCCUAGUUGGAUUCCUUUCUGCUGCGCCACGACGGGAACUCUGAGAGGAAAAAAAUUUCUAGUAGCGUUCAUAAAAAUGUCAAGAAAGUAAGGAAUAAAAUAUUGAUUUUUUUCUAUAUACUUACGACUAUAAAAAUAUGAAGGAAUUUUAAGAAAACAAAACCUCUGCGGAAGAUACAAUUUAAGCAACCACAACUCAUGUAAUUUUAUUUUCUUUCUUUGUUCCAUAGUUUUAAAAUAACUGACAAUGAAAGAAGAAUCAUGGAGUUCCCCUCAUGGCUCAGUGGUUAAUGAACCCGACUACUAGCCAUGAGUUUGAGAGUUCGAUCCCUGGCCUCGCUCAGUGGGUUAAGGAUCCGGCGUUGCCACGAGCUGUGGUGUAGGCUGCAGACUUGGUUCGGAUCUGGCACGGCUGUGGCUGGGGUGUAGGCCGGCAGCUGUAGCUCCAAUUGGACCCCUAGCCUGGGAACCUCAAUAUGCCUCGGGUGUGGCCCUAGAAAGACCAAAAAAAGAAGAGGAAGAAGAAUCAGUUUCACUUUAAAACAUAUUUUUCAGUCAGCUGAGUAGUUUAUGUUCAAAUACAAGAAAAGUUUGUAUUUCUCAAAUGAAAACAUUUCCCCCUCGCAGUUCACACUUUGUGUCACUGAUUCAGACAUAAAUAAAAACAAGUAUCAAACCCUCACCCAGCAGCUUAUUGACAGGUGACUGCAGUGUGUCUUUACCUUGACAAUCUUGGUGAUACUGCUGUGUAUUUAGCAUCUAGUGUUUAACUGUAGGGAGUGUGUAUCACUGCCUUACCUCAGGGAUUGCAGGAUGUGCAGGAAGUGGUCUCAGAGCACUCCAGACUGUUAAGAACGUUCCAUGGAAAAGAGCCACGGUGAUUGGGCAGCCAGUGUUGCGGACACGCGUAUUACGGGGUCUUCUCCAAAUUAACUGCCUCAUAGAUGACAGUGAUUUUUAAGGAUAAGUACUAAAAAUGUGGCCUUAAGAAAUUAUAUAUCUAUAUCUAUUUAUCAAUAGGUAAGUAUACUCGAAGUUUGUGUUUUACAUAUAUAUAUGUAUAUAUAUACACACAAGAAGUUUGCACCUUUGGAAUAGUAUGAAAACUAUUAAAACUUGACAUAACAAAAAAUGUUUAGAACUGAAACCAAUAACAUUUGGUUGUGAGGAGGAAAAUUAUUUAAUUGCUGAUGUUAUUUUAGAAUACUGGACUAUGGAGGUAGUAAUAAAAAUAGUAUUUAUUACUGUUUUUUUGCUGCAAAAGGGGGGGACCACUCCCCCUGCCCUGCCUUUGGGAGGUCAUACUAUAUUCUCAAUGUCUUAGCAAGAAAGGGCCCCAUCAGUGUUGGGUUUGUAACCUCCAAAACCACCAUUGUUUUCUUUCCGCCCUCCCUUCCUUCCUUUUUUCCUUUCUUAUUUUUAUUUUAUUUUAUUUUUUAUUAAUUUUUUUUUCUUUUUUCAUUACUCAAAUGAAUUUAUCAUAUCUAUAGUUGUAUAAUGAUCAUCACAGUCCAAUUUCACAGGAUUUCCAUCCCACAACCCAAGCACAUCCCCCCACCCCCCAAACUGUCUCCUCCGGAGACCAUAAGUUUUUCCAUGUCUGUGAGUCAGCAUCUGUUCUGUAAAGAAGUUCCGUCUGUCCUUUGUUCAGAUUCCACAUGUCAGUGAACGCAUUUGAUGAUGGUGUCUCACUGUCUGACUGACUUCACUCAGCAUGAUAAUUUCUAGGUUCAUCCACGUUGCUACAAAUGCCAUUAUUUCUUUCCUUUUAAUGGCUGAGUAAUACUCCAUUGUGUAUAUGUACCACUUCUUCCUGAUCCACUCCUCUGUCGAUGGACAUUGAGGUUGUUUCCAUGUCAUGGCUAUUGCAAAUAGUGCUGCCAUGAACAUUGGAGUACAUGUGUCUUUGUGAGUCGUGGUUUUCUCUGGCUAGAUGCCCAGGAGUGGGAUUGCUGGAUCCAAUGGGAGUUCUAUGCUUAGUUUUUGGAGGCAUCUCCAUCCUGCUUUCCACAGUGGCUGCACCAAUGUACAAUCCCACCAACAGUGUACUAGGGUUCCUUUUUCUCCACAUCCUCUCCAGCACUUAGUGUUUGUAGACUUUUGGAUGCUGGCCAUUCUGGCUGGUGUAAAGUUAUUUUAUUUUAUUUUUAUACGAUUAUCUUUUUAAAAAUUUUUAUUAAAGCAUAGUUGAUUUACAGUCUUGUCCAUUGUCUGCUGUACAGCAUAGUGAUCCAGUCAUACAUAUAUAUAUACAUUAUUUUUCUCACCUUUUCUUCCAUUAUGUUCUAUCCCAAGAGAUUGGAUAUAACUCCCUGUGCUGUACAGUAGGACCUCAUUGCUUAUCCAUUCUAAAUGUCAUGGUUUGCAUCUAUCAGCCCCCAAUUCCCCGCCCAUCCCCCCAUUGGCAACCACAAGUCUGUUCUCUAUGUUUGUGAGUCUCUUUCUGUUUUGUAGAUAGGUUCAUUUGCGCUAUAUUUUAGAUUCCACAUGGAAGUGAUAUCAUAUGGUAUUUAUGUUUCUCUUUCAGACUUACUUCACUAGGUGUGACAAUCUCUAAUUUUUAUACAAUUUAAAUGUUACAUUACAUUUAUGGUUAUUACAAAAUAUUGGCUAUAUUCCCCAUGUUGUACAGUACCUCCUUGAACCUAUCUUACACCCAAUAGUUUGUACCUCUCAGUCUCCCAGCCCUGUCUUGCUCCUUCUUCUUCCCUCUCCCCACUGGUAACAACUAGUUUGUUCUCUGUAUGUGGUUUUUGUUUUAGUCACUGGUUUGUUGUAUUUUUUUUAAUUCCACAUAUAAGUAAUAUCAUAAGUCGUUGUCUUCCUGUCUGACUUAUUGCACUUAGCAUAAUACCCUCCGGUUCUAUCCAUAUUGCAGCAAAUGGCAUUAUUUCAGUCUUUUUAAUGGCCGAGUAAUGUUCCGUUUUAUCUCUAUCUGUGUAUAUCAUCUUUUUUUUAUCCAUUUAUCUGGUGAUGGAUACUUAGUUUGCUUCCAUAUCUAUAUGAUUGUAAAUAAUGCCAUGAACAUUGGCGUGUACCAAACACUACUGUGAGGUAGGUGCCCUGGAGUCAACCACUUUGUAUGCCUUUUUAGGGCAUGGCACUGCCACCUCACACAAAAUGCCACUCCUCAGCUAAGUCCCCACCUCUGCACACACACAGAAAUACCAAGUCCUUUUCCUCUUCUCCCAUGGAAAGUGUAUCUUUGGGGCUCAGUCCUGAUCCAGUCCUUAUCCCCACUUUCUGGCUAACUGGAACUUCUGGUCCAUCUCCCAACACCGCAGCAUCCAUCUCCCUUCCUCUUUACACACCUGCCUCAUCCCUUCCUUCUCCACUCCUAUCAAAGAACUCUCAGAGGCACACAAAUUUUCACAUCAGGUUGAUUUUAAUUUUCGCUAUUACUGUACCCUGUUGGUAUAAGAUUCCAUGACUAUACAGUUGGCUAUUUCUCAGUAGCAAGACCCCUGAAGAUUCUGCAGGUUUGGGCGGUCUCUGUCCCUACUCUGAGGUUACUGGCUGCUCACAUGUUGGAAAGCUGGGCUUCUCCAUGAUCUCUUGAACAUGCUCUGGUUCCUUUUGAUUCUGAUCCUCAUUUGGCUUGUGACAGUGGCCGUGUAGCCUGAACCCUGUAUUGCUCCUAUGUUUCUUUGAUGGGGUGGGAGUUUCUGGAGCGUGUUUUUGGUCAGACUCCCUGGAAGGCAUCUUUUUAACCUCAUGGUUGCCUUGGAUACCUGGAAAGACAACAGGGUGAGCACAGAAGGGCAUUGGUUUGGGGAAGCUGGUGGGGGAGGGCUAGGAACAGGAGCUUCAGGAGAUGGGGUGUGGGCUGAGGAGUGGGUGUGUGCCAGGCAAAGACAGGGGAGGGGUCUUGUGGGGGGUGUCAAUCAGCAAAAGGAGCUUGGGUGGGUUCAGCUCACCUUGACAUUGAAUCUGGACCUCUGUUGGUACAGAGUCUUCACCUUUUUCUUCCCUUUGAUGCUUGGAGUCGGUCGUUCCAUAACUUUGCCAGGGCCUUGUGGUUUCCCUGUUACCUUAGCCAUUUUGAAGACUCCCAGUGGUCUGCUCUAUAGCCCCUGACCACCCCUAUAUAUACCCCUCCCCAGGGUGAUGCAGGGCCACACUCUUCAUCUUUGCGAAGUCAACAAGCCCCUCUCCUAGCCGAUCGUGUCUCUGGGUGGGGCUUGUCAUCACAAAGCCCCAUCCCAACACCUCCAGAGAAGGAUGGGGAGCACCCCAGGUGCUCUGGUGGGAGAAAGGGGGCAUUUUUAGCACCCCUAAAGGGCCCUCUGAACUGACCUGCCACCCUCCUCAUCUCCCUGUCAGUUCUGGUGGGUCACAUGGUGGGGAGAGGGUGUGUCCUCCAAACUUUGUCCCACAGCAACCCUACUCAGGAGUUCAUUGUGUUCUUGCCCACCUUCCACCUUACCAGGCUUAUGUCUUGCCUAAAAUCCUUCCGUGGUAAUGAGGCUGUAUUUAAGUGUCUGUGGAACUAAGAAUCACUCAAUUUCUCUCCUCCAAAUUGGUCUUACCCACCUUGAAGACCAUUUACUUCUUGGCCACUACCAGGAACCUUUCCCAUCCCACCUCCUUUUCACAGUGCAGUGUUCAUGUAGCUCUCCUCGGUUUGCUCUCUUCUGAUGUGAAAUCACUGCCUUCAGGCCAUCAGACUGUAAUGAAUGCACGUGCUCCACUUGGAAUCUAGUCUUGUUUCAAAUCUAGGACUCAUGGUCAUCUCAGUAAGUGUACUAUCCAGGCUUGUUUUUAACAGGGUGACAAGGAUGAGACAGAUACAUACAUGCUACACGUCUUGCUGGGUGAUCACGUACAGGAAGCUACAACCUCAGGCUGAUGAGUAUUCCCAAGGAAGGGUGGAGCUUAACUAGAGGUGUGUAAGCGUCAUGUA
rnacentral:lncRNA from 1 species